CCUACGGGAGGCAGCAGUGAGGAAUAUUGGUCAAUGGACGAGAGUCUGAACCAGCCAAGUAGCGUGAAGGAUGACUGCCCUAUGGGUUGUAAACUUCUUUUAUAUGGGAAUACAACGUUCCAUGUGUGGGAUUUUGUAUGUACCAUAUGAAUAAGGAUCGGCUAACUCCGUGCCAGCAGCCCCGGUAAUACGGAGGGUCCGUGCGUUUUCCGGAGUUAUUGGGUUUAAAGGGAGCGUAGGUGGAUUGUUAAGUCAGUUGUGAAAGUUGGCGGCUCAACCGUAGAAUUGCAUUUGAAACUGGCGGUCUUGAGUACAGUAGAGGUGGGCGGAAUUCGUGGUGUAGCGGUGAAAUGCUUAGAUAUCACGAAGAACUCCGAUUGCGAAGGCAGUUCACUGGACUGCAACUGACACUGAGGCUCGAAAGUGUGGGUAUCAAACAGGAUUAGAUACCCCUGUAGUC
rnacentral:rRNA from 1 species